rnacentral:misc_RNA from 1 species
AACUUUCAACAACGGAUCACUUGGCUCUCGCAUCGAUGAAGAACACAGCGAAAUGCGAUACGUAAUGUGAAUUGCAGAAUUCAGUGAAUCAUCGAAUCUUUGAACGCACCUUGCGCCCCUUGGAAUUCCGAGGGGCACACCCGUUUGAGUGUCGUGAACAUCCUUCAACCUUUCUUGGUUUCUUGACCGGGGAAGGCUUGGACUUUGGGGGUCUUUCAUUGCUGGCCUCUUUGAAGCCAGCUCCUCCUAAAUGGAUUAGUGUGGUCUGCUUUGCCGAUCCUUGACGUGAUAAGAUGUUUCUACGUCUUGGGUUUCGCACUGUCGCUUUAGACCCCGCUUCUAACCGUCUUGCAUUCAAGACAGAGUUUUAAACCUUGACCUCAAAUCGGGUGAGACUACCCGCUGAACUUAAGCAUAUCAAUAAGCGGAGGCU